GACGAACGCUGGCGGCGUGCCUAAUACAUGCAAGUCGAGCGGAAUGAUGAAGAAGCUUGCUUCUUCUGAUUUUAGCGGCGGACGGGUGAGUAACACGUGGGCAACCUACCUUGUAGAUUGGGAUAACUCCGGGAAACCGGGGCUAAUACCGAAUAAUCCAUUUUGCUUCAUGGCGAGAUGUUGAAAGACGGUUUCGGCUGUCACUAUAAGAUGGGCCCGCGGCGCAUUAGCUAGUUGGUAGGGUAAUGGCCUACCAAGGCGACGAUGCGUAGCCGACCUGAGAGGGUGAUCGGCCACACUGGGACUGAGACACGGCCCAGACUCCUACGGGAGGCAGCAGUAGGGAAUCUUCCGCAAUGGACGAAAGUCUGACGGAGCAACGCCGCGUGAGUGAAGAAGGUUUUCGGAUCGUAAAACUCUGUUGUUAGGGAAGAACACGUACGAGAGUAACUGCUCGUACCUUGACGGUACCUAACCAGAAAGCCACGGCUAACUACGUG
rnacentral:rRNA from 1 species